GCUGGGCACAGUGCUGCACAUCUGUAAUCCCGGCUACUGGGAAGCUGAGACGGGAGGAUCACAACUUCCAGGCCAGUCUGGGCAACUUAGUGAGACCCUGUCUCAA
rnacentral:sRNA from 1 species